rnacentral:lncRNA from 1 species
AAUGUUCUCCAGCAUCACCUACUUACGGAUUGAGAGCAUGUUGUUCAACCUUUACAUCCUCUGUGAAGAUACCGAGUCAGACCAGGUGUUCUUGAGAGUUCUUGCAGCAUUAAUUGUAUUUUAGAUGCAGGCACAGUUCUCACUCAGGCACACAGAUGUCAUAAGGGUUAGGUGGCACCAGCCUCACAUCAAAUAGUCCCUUAAGUACAUGCACCAGAGUUGAACAAUCUUUAUAAACACAGGAUGGAAAAGGUCCAGAGAGGAGAGAGAAGAGGGUAAGAACUUGGGCAAAGCAGGAAAAGCUCACAAAAAUACACAAAAUACACAAAAUAUUUACUACACAGAUCAUGCCUGAUAGAGACAUUUCUCCAAAGCCAGGUCUUGUAGAUGUUUGGUAGGUCAAUGCUUCAGCUGGUCUUCUGUAGAAGUAAGUUCCAAUAGAUGUGUUGGCAAGUAAAUGCUAGCAAAUGAAGAGUGAAUCUUCCUUCUUCUGAUGUCCUUAUGUAAUUCUCCAGUGGAAGGUGUGGCCCAGACUAAAGGUAUGAGCCACCGUGCUUGGAUCUAGGACUUGUUUUGUCCCAGGCUGACCUUGAACUCAGAGAUUUCCUUGCCAUAGUUUCCUGGGAUUAAAGGUGUGUACUAUCUUUCCCAUGCCUAAACUUUUCAUUGCCACUAUGCCUCAAGAUCUCCAUGCCAAGAUCCCAGGUUAGAAAUUUUGUCUUCCAGUCUCAAGAUCUGGAUCACAGCUGGAAUACUUUCCCUCAAUCAUCUUUGCUCUGUGUGUGAUCUGGCACAGCUCAAGACAGUAACUUCAGUUCUGAAUACUGAUAGCACUGUAUAAGGGAAGUGUAAUACCAUCUACAGAUGAGGAAGCACAGCUGACUGUCUUCACGUCCCCCAGAUCACAGGUCCACACAGAACCCUUUUGACAGAAUUCAAGGGAGGCAGAAAUUUCAACCACUGCAAAACCAAACCAAACCAAAGUCCAAAACAUGGGUUCCACCCUAGCCAGCCACCUUCAAGAACCACAGGUCUUCAUAAACUAUUUCUGGCUAAUGAGGACUGUGUUUACAGCUGAGUGGCGAGAUCUACUAAUCAGUUGUGAAAUUGUGGGAAGCCGCAAACUCCAUUACAAGGUGGCGCUGGCUACCACUGGCCACCGCCCAUGAUUAUGGAUAAACAACCAAUGUGUGCAUGUGCAUAAGAGUUUUUUUGCCGAGUCACUGCCUGGCCCGACGCAUAUUAAUGAGGUACUGGUAGCAUAACCAAUCAGGUAUGGACACGUCACUCCUAGGCCUAUAUAAGCAGCACCAUUUCUGGGCUCAGGGUCUUUUGCUUAUGCAGUCAAUGCUCUCCCAAUAAACGUGUGCAGAAGGAUCC